rnacentral:rRNA from 1 species
CGCUGGCGGUGCGCCUUAUGCAUGCAAGUCGAGCGAAGCUUUUCAGUAGUUUACUACAGAAAAUGACUGAGCGGCGAACGGGUGAGUAACGCGUGAGCAAUCUACCUUAGUUACAGGGAUAGCCCGAGGAAACUCGGAUUAAUACCUGAUAUUCUUUAUUUCUCGCAUGAGAAUAAAAGGAAAGGUCAGCCGAACUAAGAUGAGCUCGCGUUCUAUCAGCUAGUUGGUGAGGUAAAAGCUUACCAAGGCUACGACGGAUAGCUGGUCUGAGAGGACGAUCAGCCACACUGGGACUGAGACACGGCCCAGACUCCUACGGGAGGCUGCAGCAGGGAAUAUUGUGCAAUGAACGAAAGUUUGACACAGCGACACCGCGUGUGGGAUGACGGAUCUAGGUUUGUAAACCACUUUCAGGAGGGAAGAAAAUGACGGUACCUCCACAAGAAGCCCUGGCCAACUACGUGCCAGCAGCCGCGGUAAUACGUAGGGGGCGAGCGUUGUCCGGAUUUAUUGGGCGUAAAGAGCUCGUAGGCGGUUCAACAAGUCGGUCGUGAAAGUUCAGGGCUCAACCCUGAAAUGUCGAUCGAUACUGUUGUGACUAGGAUACGGUAGAGGUGAGUGGAAUUCCGAGUGUAGCGGUGAAAUGCGUAGAUAUUCGGAGGAACACCAAUUGCGAAGGCAGCUCACUGGACCGCUAUCGACGCUGAGGAGCGAAAGCUAGGGGAGCAAACAGGAUUAGAUACCCUGGUAGUCCUAGCUGUAAACGAUGGAUACUAGACGUAGGAACUGGAUUGACGGUUUCUGUGUCGUAGCUAACGCGUUAAGUAUCCCGCCUGGGGAGUACGGUCGCAAGACUAAAACUCAAAGGAAUUG